UACGUAGGGUGCGAGCGUUAAUCGGAAUUACUGGGCGUAAAGGGCGCGCAGGCGGCCAUUCAAGUCAGGCGUGAAAGCCCCGGGCUUAACCUGGGAAUGGCCAUGGAAACUGGCGAACUGGAGUGUGGCAGAGGGGGGUGGAAUUCCGCGUGUAGCAGUGAAAUGCGUAGAGAUGCGGAGGAACACCGAUGGCGAAGGCAGCCCCCUGGGCUAGCACUGACGCUCAGGCACGAAAGCGUGGGGAGCAAACAGG
rnacentral:rRNA from 1 species